AUGGCCACAUCACGUUGGAACACUGGUUCCCAUAUGAUCACCAAAGUUAAGCAACAUUGAGCCUGGUAAGUACCUAGAAUGGUGACAGCUUGGGAAU